rnacentral:rRNA from 1 species
UUGAUGAUCUUCACCGGUUGUCUCGGGUGACCGCCAAGUUUACUUUGAAAAAAUUAGAGUGCUCAAAGCAGGCGCGACGCCUGAAUAAUUGUGCAUGGAAUAAUGGAAUAGGACCUCGGUUCUAUUUUGUUGGUUUUCGGAACACGAGGUAAUGAUUAAGAGGGACAGACGGGGGCAUUCGUAUUGCGACGCUAGAGGUGAAAUUCUUGGACCGUCGCAAGACGAACUACUGCGAAAGCAUUUGCCAAGAAUGUUUCCAUUAAUCAAGAACGAAAGUUAGAGGUUCGAAGGCGAUCAGAUACCGCCCUAGUUCUAACCAUAAACGAUGCCAGCCAGUAAUCCGCCUGUGUUCCUCAAAUGACACGGCGGGCGACUUCCGGGAAACCAAAGCUUUUGGGUUCCGGGGGAAGUAUGGUUGCAAAGCUGAAACUUAAAGGAAUUGACGGAAGGGCACCACCAGAAAUGGAGCCUGCGGCUUAAUUUGACUCAACACGGGGAAACUUACCCGGCCCGGACACAGGAAGGAUUGACAGAUUAAGAGCUCUUUCUUGAUUCUGUGGGUGGUGGUGCAUGGCCGUUCUUAGUUGGUGGGGCGACUUGUCUGGUUAAUUCCGAUAACGAACGAGACUCUAGCCUACUAAAUAGACGUUCCGAUCCUCUUUCGUCGGACGUUCUUCUUAGAGGGACAAGCGGCGUUUAGCCGCACGAGACAGAGCAAUAACAGGUCUGGGAUGCCCUUAGAUGUCCGGGGCCGCACGCGCGCUACAUUGAAGGAAUCAGCGUGUGCUUUCCCUGUCCGAAAGGACUGGGUAACCCGUUGAACCUCCUUCGUGCUGGGGAUUGGCGAAUGUAACUA